UUCUCCUGGGCCAAGUGACCCUCCGUUUGUCUGAUCAAGAUAAGUAUGAGUAGUGCAAAUGAAGGAGCAGGCCUUGAUAGUACCCAUGCCACUCCCCUCUUCAACUAUAGACUGGUGGACACUUAGAUACUCCGGGAUCACCGACUAACAGACUAUACAUCUUAUCCAGGCUUUUCAGCAGAAGAGUUUUCCAAGUUCAUCACUCAUAAUGAUAACCACCUAUCCAAGGCUUAACUUGAAGCAGAUCCACAGAGAGAGAUUAAGUAAAUAACCCAAAAUCACCGGACGGAGCCUGGAUCCUUCUUUUGAGAGUCUGGCCUGUGAAGGUCUGUCCAAAACCUUCUUCCAUAUCUAAGAGGACAAGCUACAAAGAAGAAGUGGUGGGUUUAACUGUUUGCAGCCAUGAUCAAGACAGUGACAUUCUCUAAUACUUUCCUAAAACAUUG